rnacentral:rRNA from 1 species
UACGAGGGGGGCGAGCGUUGUUCGGAAUUAUUGGGCGUAAAGGGCGCGUAGGCGGUCGGAUAAGUCUUGUGUGAAAUCUUCGGGCUCAACUCGAAGUCUGCACAGGAAACUAUCUGGCUUGAGUGUGGGAGAGGUGAGUGGAAUUCCGUGGUGUAGCGGUGAAAUGCGUAGAUAUCAGGAGGAACACCUGUGGCGAAAGCGGCUCACUGGACCACAACUGACGCUGAGGCGCGAAAGCUAGGGGAGCAAACAGG